AUUGAACGCUGGCGGCAUGCCUUACACAUGCAAGUCGAACGGCAGCAUAGGAGCUUGCUCCUGAUGCCGAGUGGCGAACGGGUGAGUAAUAUAGCGGAACGUGCCCUAGAGUGGGGGAUAACUCGUCGAAAGACUAGCUAAUACCGCAUAAGAUCUACGGAUGAAAGUGGGGGAUCGCAAGACCUUAUGCUCCUUGAGCGGCAGAUAGCUGAUUCGCUAGUUGGGGGGGUAAAAGCCUACCAAGGCAACGAUCAGUAGCUGGUCUGAGAGGACGACCAGCCACACUGGGACUGAGACACGGCCCAGACUCCUACGGGAGGCAGCAGUGGGGAAUUUUGGACAAUGGGGGCAACCCUGAUCCAGCAAUGCCGCGUGAAUGAAGAAGGCCUUCGGGUUGUAAAGCUCUUUUGUCAGGGAAGAAACGGUAGUAGCGAAUAACUAUUACUAAUGACGGUACCUGAAGAAUAAGCACCGGCUAACUACGUGCCAGCCGCCGCCGUAA
rnacentral:rRNA from 1 species